UACGAAGGGGGCUAGCGUUGCUCGGAAUCACUGGGCGUAGAGGGCGCGUAGGCGGACUUUUAAGUCGGAGGUGAAAGCCCAGGGCUCAACCCUGGAAUUGCCUUCGAUACUGGGAGUCUUGAGUUCGGAAGAGGUUGGUGGAACUGCGAGUGUAGAGGUGAAAUUCGUAGAUAUUCGCAAGAACACCGGUGGCGAAGGCGGCCAACUGGUCCGAAACUGACGCUGAGGCGCGAAAGCGUGGGGAGCAAACAGG
rnacentral:rRNA from 1 species